rnacentral:tRNA from 9 species
GGGCAAUUGGUUUAGUGGUAUAAUACCCCCUUAGCAUGGGGGUGGUCCAGGGUUCGAUUCCCUGAUUGUCCA